rnacentral:rRNA from 1 species
AGCGAACGCUGGCGGCAGGCCUAACACAUGCAAGUCGAACGGCAGCACAGUAAGAGCUCGCUUUCAUGGGUGGCGAGCGGCGGACCGGUCAGGUAUACAUCGGAUUCUACUUUUACGUCGGUGCUAACGCAGGCUAACUCACGCUAAUACAGCAUACGUCCUACGCGUGAAAGCAGGGGAUCUUUGGACCCUGCGCGAUUGAAUGAGCCGCUGCCGGACCAGCUAGUUGGGGAGGUAAAGGCCCACCAAGGCGACGAUCCGUAGCUGGUCUGACAGGAUGAUCAGCCACACUGGAACUGAGCCACGGUCCACAAUUUAACAAGGGGCCGCGGCGGACAAUAUUGGGCAAUAGGCAGGAGCCUGAUCCAGCGAUACCGCGUAAGUGAAGAAGGCCCUCGGGGUGUAGUGCCCUUUUGUUGGGAAAUAAUAGCAGCAGGUUAAUACCCCACUGUUCUGACGGUACCCAACGAAUAAGCACCGGCUAACUUCGUG